rnacentral:rRNA from 1 species
GACGAACGCUGGCGGCGUGCCUAAUACAUGCAAGUAGAACGCUGAAGGAGGAGCUUGCUUCUCUGGAUGAGUUGCGAACGGGCGAGUAACGCGUAGGUAACCUGCCUGGUAGCGGGGGAUAACUAUUGGAAACGAUAGCUAAUACCGCAUAACAGUAGAUAUCGCAUGAUAGCUGCUUGAAAGGUGCAAUUGCACCACUACCAGAUGGACCUGCGUUGUAUUAGCUAGUUGGUGAGGUAACGGCUCACCAAGGCGACGAUACAUAGCCGACCUGAGAGGGUGAUCGGCCACACUGGGACUGAGACACGGCCCAGACUCCUACGGGAGGCAGCAGUAGGGAAUCUUCGGCAAUGGACGGAAGUCUGACCGAGCAACGCCGCGUGAGUGAAGAAGGUUUUCGGAUCGUAAAGCUCUGUUGUAAGAGAAGAACGAGUGUGAAAGUGGAAAGUUCACACUGUGACGGUAUCUUACCAGAAAGGGACGGCUAACUACGUGCCAGCAGCCGCGGUAAUACGUAGGUCCCGAGCGUUGUCCGGAUUUAUUGGGCGUAAAGCGAGCGCAGGCGGUUAGAUAAGUCUGAAGUUAAAGGCUGUGGCUUAACCAUAAUACGCUUUGGAAACUGUUUAACUUGAGUGCAAGAGGGGAGAGUGGAAUUCCAUGUGUAGCGGUGAAAUGCGUAGAUAUAUGGAGGAACACCGGUGGCGAAAGCGGCUCUCUGGCUUGUAACUGACGCUGAGGCUCGAAAGCGUGGGGAGCAAACAGG